CUUGCCACAAAUGAAGCUACCAUCUGUCACAAUGCUGUUGCAACAUCAUAUGGACUAUAUUCCCUAGGCUGUGCCUUUUAUUCCCGUGAUUUAUUCAUUGGCGGACAGUAGAUCCUGGUGCCAAGUGCCAAUGCAGAAGCACAUGUUUGACAAGGACAUAGUCAACAGGGGCUCAGACCUGUCAUGGAUGAUGGUCCAGGCCACUCUACCACAUAAGCCACCUGGACGAGAAGGGAAACCACGUGCUCAAAUGUGGAAGAAGCCUCCAGCGGUUUUAUUUCAUACGUGAAGUCAUCGACCUGCAGCAUGCCACGCAGACCCCCAUUGCAGGUGUCCAGCGUGCCCAUGGACCCAGGGACCCCUUCCAGAUAUAUCUUGCAAGAAGUUGCAGGGGCCAAGUUCAGAAAGGGUGUUACAAUUGAACGCUAAAGCAUAAGUAUCUAGGAAUAAACCUGACCAAAGAGGUAAAGGAUCUAUACCCUAAAAACUACGGAACACUUCUGAAAGAAAUUGAGGAAGACACAAAGAGAUGGAAAAAUAUUCCAUGCUCAUGGAUUGGAAGAAUUAAUAUUGUGAAGAUGCCAAUGCUACCCAGGGCAAUUUGCACGUUCAGUGCAAUCCCUAUCAAAAUACCAUGGACUUUCUUCAGAGAGUUGGAACAAAUCAUCUUAAGAUUUGUGUGGAAUCAGAAAGGACACCGAACAGCCAGGGGAAUAUUGAAAAAGAAAACCAGACCCGGGGGCAUCACAGUGCCAGACUUUAAGUUAUACUACAAAGCUGUGAUCAUUAAGACAGUGUGGCACUGGCACAAAAACAGACACAAAGAUCAAUGGAACAGAAUAGAGAACCCAGAAAUGGGCCCUCAACUCUAUGGUCAACUAGCAUUCGACAAAGCAGGAAAGACUAUCCACUGGAAAAAGGACAGUCUCUUCAAUAAAUGGUGCUGGGAAAAUUGGACAGCCACGUGCAGAAGAAUGAAACUAGACCAUUCUCUUACACCAGACACAAAGAUAAACUCAAAAUGGAUGAAGGAUCUAAAUGUGAGACAAGAAUCCAUCAAAAUCCUAGAGGAGAACACAGGCAACACCCUUUUUGAAUUUAUUUAUUUAUUUUUAUUCAGAAAAUAUCUACGUAUUAUUGAAAGAUCCAGAGUGAGGCUUGGUCGGAAGGUGCUCUGAAUUCAUCUGGGCCAUCAUGUGGCCAAUGUCACUUUUCACUCAUCUUUUCUCCCCAUUUGCUCCAGGCAUGAUCUCCUAGGGUCCAAGUAGCAUACCAUUCACCUCUAGAGUGAUUAAAGUUCUGGAAGGGGAUGGAGUCUAGAGGGGAAUGCCAGCUUGGUCCGGUUCUGAGAGGAGCCCUCUUCGGGGCUGCAGACUGCUGGAUUCUGAAGGCUUAAAGAGACUUGUGUGUGUGUGUGUGUGUGUGUGUGUGUGUGUGUGUGUGUGUGUGUGUGUGACUCAUAAACAGUUUAUGGUGUCUUUAGGAUGAAGUGUAGACAGAGAACGGUCUCUCAGAGACAGAGAAUCUUUAUCCCAGUGAGUUGGCUCAUUUGUCGUUUUCAUAGGCAGCUGGAGUCUUCCUCUGGGAAUACUCAGAACUCCUCGGUCCCCACCGUGUACACAAUACACUACAGAUGGUGGUGUCACACAGGAUGGACACCAGGUGCAGUGCCGCAUGCUGGGGAUGCCUUUGUUGAAGCAGGACAGGAAGGUGUGCUACUCCACAGGGUGUCAGGCUGUAGGCGACCACAUGCCCUGUCUGCAUCGGAUUCCCCAGCUCACGGGGGCCCAUGGUCCCAGCGGCACCAUGGUCACCCUGUUGUCCACAACUAUGGGACCGACCUUUAAAGUCACAAUUAGUAUUUUUAAAGAUUUUACUUAAUUGUUUGUUUAUUUAUUUAUUUAUUUAUUUAUUUAUUUAUUUGAGAGACAGAGAGAGCACAAGUGGGGAGCAGGAGGAGGGAGAAGCAGACUCCCCAGUGAGCAGGGAGACUGACAAGGGGCUCCAUCCCAGAACCCCUAGGUCACAACCCGAGCCGCAGGCAGACGCUUAACUGACUGAGCCACCCAGGUGCCCUAAAGUUGUUAUGACAUAUCUUCUUUUCCACUUUUGAGCUAAUCAAGAGAGGAAAAGAGAGAAGUUGCUAUGCAAUGUAUUUUGUUGAAUAAUACACAGAAUUCAUAGUCUGGCACCGUGUCACCUUAUAUAUGAAAGGAUGUUGUAAUGAGACAUAGUGAAUACUCCUAGGAAACUACUGGGAUGAUAAUCUCUCCUAAAGGACUCAAAGGCUUCCCCACCCUGUCCUGUAAAUUUUUAUUUACAAAAAUAAACAGCAUUUGAGUACUGAUCUCUUUUUCUCCUCGUACCAGAAAGGAAACAAAGAACAUGAACAAUCUACCUCCUAGCCAGAAAAAAAGUGUUUUAUAACCUCAAAACAAAUGUUUACUCACCAAGAGCCGUAAAUGGCUCAAAUUGGAGAUUUUGGUGGGAUUUUCACCAGUAACUAAACUACUGAAGCUGCAAACCA